AGCUGGCAGCCUCCUGACAUAGCCCUGCUUCCAGUCAGCAGCAGUGACACUCAGUGGUGCCACUCUUCUCAAGCAGGUUGGUGACAAAGAAGCUUCAGGAAGUCACUUCUGGCUUGGUCUGGUGAAAGUGUCUCUGGAUGUGCCCUCUGAGCUGACGGCUUUCUGCUUUGUUUUACAUCCCUUGCCCAAAGUAGCCCUCUCACAGCAGGGCAGCUAUUCCCUGGAGGCUGCCUUGCAGGCUGCCCGGGGGCUCUAUCCCCAGGUGUGACUUUCCUGUUCCACCCUUUCUAAACAACCUCCCCGGGGCAGCCUUUCUGCAUACCAGAACCAGAACUGUGCUCUCACACCAGCCUCUGCCCGCCUCAGGGCUCCAGGGAAGCUGCACUCUCAGGCCCAGCAGAGGCCCAGGCUGUUCUCCCUCCUCAUCAGCCCUUUUACAGCAAGGGACCUCUGCUGGCUCUUUCCGAGCAGAAUUGGGGGUUGCAAAAUGGCUCCCCUUCAAGACCAAAUUCCUCUGCCUAAGAACACGAGGCCACAACAAGCAGAUAGCAGGCGCCUGGAGGAGAGGGCCGGCCCCCAGGCCACCGGGACUCAGCUCCUGCCAUCUGACAGUACGGUGGUGAGCUGCUCUGUCCUCUUGUGGUCCUGUGAACGUGCCUCAUCCUGUUUGUCCUUAUCAGGACAUCAGGGUACCUGCUGGGCUGAAAAGCAGGGAAGACAAAGGUAAACGAGGUGCCAACUGGUCCAGCUUCUCAGGGAUUUUAUUUACUCAGCAUCUGGAAAACCUUGGGCAAAUGCACAGGCCUUCUCAACAGUCUGCUUCACUGAGGUUAAGAGAAGUCAUCGCCUUUUCCUCAGCCUAACAGCCCGCCCACACUGAGCUCUGUCCCGUGCCUCUUCUCACAGACAUGCAGGCAGAACCAGGGCUCUGCUGCUCUGAUGGCACGCUGCUGCUGCUGUGCUGCCAUCUUCCAUGGGCCAUCAUCUGCCAGCCGUGCGGUGUCACUGCCUGCUGACAGGCAUCGGCCCCUUCACAUCCCCUCCUGCACAUUGCUCCUUUGUUUUCCUGCUAAUUCCGAGAAGCAGGUCUGUGCCAUUUCCAGCCCCCGAUCCUCCAGGAACAAAUGCCAAAACUGAAAGCCAAUACUUGGGAAUGUUGUCCUGGAGGUAUCGACAGAAACACUUCCCAUCAUUUCAUUUACCGAGGAAAACACCCUUGAAAACACUCCACUGUGGAACGCCUUCCUUGUCUUGGUCACCUCUGGGACUUCCAGCGUCUUCUUGGGGCGAGACCUUCACCGGGACCCGCCCCACUUCUCACUUGUGACCAAAGCACUCAAAAAGAGUGAAGAAAGCAGAGGAAGUGCCCUCUGCCAUCUGGCGUGAGGGAGCUGCCCAUGCUUCAAAGCCCCGCGCGGACAGGAAGGGCUGUGGGGCGAUGCCGAGUGUGGGGCGAGGAAAUGGCGGGGCCGAUGGGACAUGAAAGCCGCGAGCGUGUCAAAGGCAGGACGGAAGUGUUGUAGAGGGCAGCCCUAUUUUUAGCCGCCUCUUGCGAGCUAGCGCUCGCUGUAGAAGAGCUGCUUCCCCUUUCCUUGAUGUAAGCAGAGCCCCAUUGGCGUUUGGGCCUGUUUUUAUUUGGCCACUCACGCAGUUAUGCUGACUGAAAGGUCCCUUGAGCACCGCUGACUCAAAAACACCCAUGGUCGCAGAGUCCUGAGCAAGGAGAACAGAAAGCAUCUGGCACUUCCCUGUCCCCAUUUCAGGACCGAGAGAGGUAGAACCCAAAGCUGAGGCUGCAGAGCGUGACUCUUAGUCAUAUCAACAGGGGAUUUUGCAAUUGGUGGGUGCGGGGUGCGAGGCAGGCAGUCUGCAAGCAAAUUUGAAGUGCUCUGCAAAGCACUGGAGUGGGGUUCCUCUGCUGCCAGGCCUGCGCAGCACAGUGCGGCCCUCACUCCCUGCUGCCCUGCAGCCUGCCGGGCCGCUCCAUUUGGGCACAGGGUUUAGCACAAGUGAGCAGGCAGCUCACGUGGUGAGCGGUGGGUGGCCAUGGCUGCCCUGUAUCUGCCUCCUGUUCACAUUUGCAGCAGCCGACUUCUAUGCAAGGCAGGGUCUAAAGUGGAUCCCGCUGAGUUUGGCCCAGUUUGGCUGGUGCUGUUCAGCUCAGGGACAGGAUGGAAGGAUGGAGUUGAGACUCAUAGAGCCAGCACUCCCAGCAUCCCAUUCCUGCAGCGGAUACACAGAUUACCUAUCAGUAGAGCUCCUUCUUAAGCCGGAUUGAUUAAGGCAGAAUUUGCAAUCGUUGAAUGAGAGAUGACACAAUCAUAGAAUGGCUCAGGUUGGAGGGGACGCUAAAGAUCACCCAGUUCCAGCCCGCCGCCGUGGGCAGGGAUGUGGAUGGAGAAGUGCUUUGUACUGUAACAGUUUCAUUUAGAAGCGAGAAGUCCUUCAUGAGGAGGUAGUGGGAGGAGGAGGUUAUUGACAAUGCCACUCCUGUCCGAAGGAAUGUGCUGGAAAGUUGCAGUGGCCUCUAGAUGGCAGCCCCAUUACUCACUCGUCAGAAAACUGAAAAUAAACGCCUUCCCUUUCAAAGCUGGACUUACAGGCAGGCCUAAAGCUUCGGGAGCUCAGACCAAAACCCGCGGGCAGUCAAGAUGACAGUGGGACCCAUCCGGCUUUGUUUUUUCCCCUUCGCCUCGCCCAAAAGGAGGAGCGAGGACUCGCUUCCCUCUGGACUCUGUAUUUGGUAAUGGGCCGGGAGCUGCCGCUGGGAGCUCGUCCUGACGUUCCUGGAGUCGUCUGGAAAGCGAGGCGGAGCCGCGGUGCUGUGCCCAGGGGUGCGCCUCGCCCCGGGUGCCGGCGGCUCUGCUGGGAGCGGGAGGUCCGCGCCGUGCUGCCGUGUGUGACCCGUGGGACGCGGGGCGGGCAGCUUCCACAGCACCAGAGCAGCGCUCUGCCAGAGCUAUUUGUAUAGUAAAUUGCUGUAUUGUUUCAAUUAAAAAAACGCAGCCGGGCAUUUAAUGGCUCCCAUCUGCGGCCACUCUGCGUAAUUCACUUCCCACUUUAAGGUUUGAAUUCUCCUUUUCUCUUGUAAUCGUGGGGACAAAAAGGGAGAGUUGAUGUCCCUAAUGUUGAUAGAUCUAUCUUCGUGCUCUCUGCUUUAAAUGAGGUUAACCAGGCUUUUGAGGGAGAAGAGUCAUAAAUAUUUCCUUGUGUGAGCGGAGAUGCUGGCACCGGGAAUCAUGGGAAUCCAUCUCAGCCAGCUAUUAACAGACUGUUAACAGACCGUCUUUCUAAUUGACUUAAAUGUUACUCAGUUGACCCCGUUUCAAUAUUUCCUGAGAACUCAUAGUCUUUACUUUUUCCAUCCUCGCAAUACCCUGGGAGCUAACUGCCGUAUUCACAGAGGGAGCUGAGGGAACCAGAUUCCAAAGGUGGUGGGGCCCUACAGGCGGGGCCUGGGGCUCACACGUCCGACCUGCGCUGACAUCCAAAGCAGUCGGGACCGCUGCUCUUCUGAAAUCCCACUGGGCACCCUCUGGCGUCUUUAACACCUCAGUACUUACAGUACCUCUCGUAGCGGGAUUUGUGCGCGCACAGAAGGCAGGCGGCAUCCACAGGGUUUUGCCAGCAGAUUUAGUCUGAGCCUCAUCAGCAGGGGACCUGGAUAAGAAACCGUGGUCAGCUGCCUCUCAGCUCCGAGCCAGUCUUCCUCAAAGAGCGACGGUAACUUUGGAUGCCACGACUGCGUGACACGCAGCUGCAACCUUGACCUGGUAGGAUCUCCUACGGUCAGAUCCAGCAGAGAGGUAUGUGACUUCACUGUCAUGCACUAGCCUGCUCUGCCAGCUGGAUGAUUUAAGCACACCAAAACCAGAACAGCUCAAUAAAAUGGUUUCUGCGUGAACAGUUCAAUGAAAAUAUCUGCGAUUGGUUGUGGUAAAAAAUGCAAAUUAAAAACCCUUUCGGAUAUAGAAAAGAAAGACCAGAAAAUCGCCCUGUGUUGCCAGGACCGGAACAAAGCCAGGCACUUGGAAGCUGCCCCUGGAGGUGUUGGAGGAACGUGUAGUUGUGGUACUAAGGAACAUGGUUUAGUGGGCAACAGUGGUGGUAGGCGGAUGGCUGAACUGGAUGACCUUAGUGGUCUUUUCCAACCUUAAUGAUUCUAUGAUUCUGAGCAACCUGGGCAGCUGGAGAUGAGAGGAAGCAGGUUCUGGUCCUGUCUCUGCCAAAUGGUUUCUGGCUGCUCUCUUUAGUGCGUAGUUGCUAAACCUGUGCACCUGCCACGGAGGAGGUCAAUGAGAAAUCCUGGCUCUUGUUUCAGUGCCCUAGGGACACGGGAAUGUUUUUGGGGAGUUUUGUACUUGCAUCACUUGCAUCUGUGCUGUCCCUGGUAAAUGCGUUUGAGUUCCAAGGGGUUAGAGUCAGGAGUACUUGUGCUGCUUGGAAGGACAUAGUUCCUACACGGACCAGGCUCCUCUCUGCUGUUUGGAGAGCGAGACGGUGUAUGGGACAGGCGGUGUGAAGUCAGUGAGCUCGGGCUUGUUGCUAAGCCUGAGCCUUGUGUUAUCCACUCACAAAUCUAUCAGCACUUGGGAAUUCGGACUGAAGUUACGUCUGAGGCAAAUCCACACAUAUUAGAAGGUUAGAAAUAUGAUUUCGGGAUAACUCAUUGGCCUCUGCCUCUUCUCCCGUCCCACCUCUCUGCUUUGUUACUAUGAUGAGCAUCUCAUGGGGCACAUGGGAGACCAGCCUAGACUGAACUCGUUGUUGGGGACGCGGGUUUGGGAUUUGAGCAGCAGAGUGGCUGUGGUGCUCCUGGUGAGGUGGGAUUAGCCCUCACACGCUCUGCCAGCUGUCUGUCCUUCCACGCUGUUGGUCUGCUGUAGGAGGUGUGCAGUGGGAGCACAUGGGGCGUGAACACAGAGGUUCCUGCUGAGGCAGAAGAAGGUGGCGUGACCCCGAAAAAGGGAACAGGAGCUGCAACUUCCACCCUUGUGGGCUAAGAGGAACGACCACCCCUGAGGUCCCAUGAAGCUGCAGGCUGCUCCAGACCCACCCUUAUGCGGGAAGGAACACACCCUUGCCUCUGCCUGCAUGUGGCUGCAGGUUCCUCGCUGCAGCCCAGCCCUCCUGAUGAUGUGUGGCCUUCGGGUGGUGCGACACGGCGCUGCUGGGGAGUGGGCUGGCUGUGGUGGGCUUCCUCCUCGCCUUACUGCCACGUGCUGCCCCUACAAGACAACCUCCCGCCAGCUGGAAACCCAGCGCGGCCUCGUGUCCCCAAAAUAAAGAUUUUGUCCUACAGUUUCAUGACUGUAAUUGUUAAGCAGCUCUGUUGUAAGCUUCCCACUAUUUGCCUCAAGCAGCUCAUCCCUGCGGUUCCUCCCAUGCUAAUCUCUGCGAUCUGUGGCAUGCAUACAGCGCUGGCUGGAACGGUCCCUCCCCUCUGCUGCACCGUAUUUGCCAGAACAGGCAUAACUCCAGAUAACCGGAUUUGAAACAAUCAGAGCAGGAAGUGGCAAUAACUGGCCUGGAGGGAAGGCGGGGAGUUGCCCAUAGACAGUUUUUUAGAAGGGUGCCCAAUUUGUGCUAUCUGAUCUCUUUCCACGCUCCUUUAGCCCAGGUACAAAGGCAGGAUGUAAAGCUUGCAGGAGUCAUUUCCAUCCUCUCUCCCUGGCUUCUGACUGAGUUCAGAUCUGUACCGUCUCUUUCUUACAGCCGUGCUGUGUGUGUGGUGACACGCAUACUGACCUACGUGUGCACGUGAAGACUUCCAGAGCUGCAUCUGCUUCAGACGUGACACUGAUGUCACCCCACGGAUGCUGCCUCGCUGUGGACAAGGCAACGGACCAAAGUUGGCGUUAUUUCCUCCGUGGAGAGCAGGGACCUCAAGGAUGGCUCUGGUGCAGCUGGCGCUCCCGUGGCGGGCAGUCACAGCCCACGCCAACCCUCUGCCCACCGCGCCUUCAUACCCUGGGGGUCAGAGUGGGCUGAGGCAGGUCCUAGGCGAGUGCUCCCACUGCCGAGCCUGCAGCUUGGUCACCAGCGCCCUCCGGCCAGCCUCAUAAACAUCACCCACCGGGCUCUGCUGCCCAUCCCCUGCUCCCCCAGCCAAGGGUCACGAGCUGCGGCCGGCAGCCGGCUGCCAAACACAGCCGUGGCUCUGUGCAGCCAGCCUGCGAGAGGUCGUCACACGCCUCCUUAAGCAAACAGGGAUCCACGCCAGUUGAUAAAUCAUUUACGAGGAGAAGUCAGAAGCAAGGAACUAGAUUAACCAGGUCACUGGGUGUCCUGAGGGAAUGACGUGUCAGUGGAGCUGAAACAGCAGAUCCCGCAGUUGCAAUCUGUUGCCUUCUUCUGUCCUGACAGCAAUUCAUGGAAAUCCCUGGAACUAGACACUAGUGAUGGAAAAAUCCAUUAGCUCAUCCAAAGUCAGCUUGCUAGUUAAAGCAGUCACUCCCAUUGUACAUUUUUUGGCAGAGUUAAAAUGUCUCAAGAGAGGGGAUUUCCACCAGUUCCUUCUCAAGGGGAAACUAUUCCACCUAUCGGGAAGGCAGCCUCGAGUGGUGCUAUUUAUGUAAAAGAGAAGUAACUCCAAGCCUGAAAGGGAAAACCGAAAGGUUCUGAUGCAGAAACACAGGCAGCGGUCGAUAGCCUGCCCCGGCUGACAUGUGCCACGCACAGCACAUCUGCGAUGGGAACACCAGGGGCCCACGUGUGUUUAUAUACAUCCACCUAGGUGUGUUUGUGUGUAUGCACAGCCUGCCUCUCCUUCCUCAGGCUGGUUAUGACCUUGUGCCUCCCUGGCUAAUCGACGUGUCGUAUCGUGAUCUCACAACCAGGUUACACUUAUGUAAUGCCACUGGCAUCAAGGCGAAGAAAAUUGCUAAAUUGCUUUGAGGAGGGGACAGACGCAUGGAAAAAGAGAGGCACCGGCUGCUGCUGCUGCUCUGGCACACGCUUCCCCUCUGUGUGGGGACAUGGCACGUCCCUUAGGGGCCUCGGUUCCCCAGCUGCGUGCCAGGCACAGCGACCACCCUCAGUGCUCCUGGCGUCUUGUGGCUGAACGCACAGCCUCUGGCAGCACCCUGCCCGCAGCAGCAGGGAAGGUGCUGCAACGCAGAGCUAUGUCACUGAGGUUGUCGGCAGAGGCUAUGGAGGUUUUGGCAGCCAGGAUUUCAGCACCUGGGAAGCACUUCGGGACAGUGGGGAAAUAAAUGAGCUGUGUGAUGGCAUUUAAGGCCUUAUCAUGAGUUUCAGAGCUAUUUCUGCGUUCAGAUGAAUGGGUGUAGCACACGUUGCUGAGCUAGAAUGUGUAGAGACAGGGAGGGUUGCUCUGUGUUCCCAUUCAGAAAGCUCUCAGCCAGCAGAGCUGUAACUUGCAGUCCUGGUGCCUCAGUUCAGGAGCAGGGCUCUGCAGCUAGGGUAGAUACAAUGGCUAUAUUAGCAGCAAACAAACCCCACAUUAUCCAGGGCCCUGAUUACCAGUAUGAUGGGGUGUUGGCUAUAUGCCUCUUAUGAGAAGAAGGUGGGGUAUUGCCUGGGCGUUUGCCCUGGAUUUGUAACUCCUUCUCAACUAGUUGUUUCGUGUGCCUCUCAAAACCUCACUGCUGGCACUGCUGUCUUCCCCUUCCGGGACUCCUGACAUUCAGGUACCAUGUUUUGCACGGACUCAACAGCCACGUACCCGUCAGUUACAUUGGGACUGCUCUCGUGAGUGCCCUGUGCAUGUUACUGUACGGUGGCUUGUGAGUUCUAUUUGGUACAUCCCUGGCUUUGGGCCGCGUGUUCCGCUUUGCAAGGCUUUACUUUGUUUAGCACAAACCACACUGAAGCACAAAUGACAUCUGUGAGGACUGAUAUGGUGUGGAAAGGGACCUAACCAAAAAAGCGCGGGUCAAAUCCUGGGCCUCGGCGGGGUCCCUUUAAUUGCUGUCAGGUCCCAGUGCCAGUUGACCUACUGAGCCCCUUGCCCCUUGCACCAUGGAGGGAUAAGAGCAGGUGAAGCCCAGUAACAGUUUAACUAUGAGAUUAACUCUCUGCCAGUUCCACUACAGAGGGCCCUCUGUUUCUCUGGACAAAAGGUGCUGACUCCAGCCUCCCCAACACGUUGGCCCACGUUCUCCAUCCCCUUCAUGGCCUGGCCUGCCUUCCCCACACCCUGCAGUUCCAGCCUGACUCUCAGCGAAGGCAGGGAGCCUGGGCUCUGCAGCCUUAGGUGGUGCUGCUGCCUGAAGGAGGGCCAGAGUAAGAGACAUCUUCCUCUCUACUCCCCUACACCUACAAGGUCCCAGUGCUCUUCAGAACCACACACCAAGGUAGGACGAGAUGCAGGGAGGCCUGUAACGGUCCAGGUGCUCGGCUGCGUGUCCUCCCUGCUCCUAAGCACCACUGAGACCCUGGUUUCUCAUGCCUUGAAAUUCAUGGGUGUUUGGCCAUGCCCCUCAACACAUGCAGGACCAGGCUCCCGAACUGUCCCAAAGCCCACAGAUGUCAAGGAGGUUCCUUCUUUGGGCUUCACUGUGGCAAUGAACACUGGUUUUACAGCUGGCUAGGCAAGAGGCAGCUAGGUGCAAGCUUAAUGAGGAUGACCUGUCUCAAAGGUUUCAUUUAAAAGAAGAAAGUACCGAGCGUUUUACUUAAAAAUGAACAGAUGUGUAGAGCAAACUCUACCCUUCCCUCGGGUACGGUGAAUCUGAUCACAGCGCAUCCUGCCCAGACCUGAGAGCAGACAGACAGACAGAGCUGCGUCACAAAGUGGAACUGACUGAUGUGACUCGCCCGCGCUGAGCUGGGGAUGAGUGAAACCAUGCUCGUGCAGACAGCGUGGAAAGCGAGCAGAGGUGAUAAGGAGUGGGGGUGUUAGUUGUUGUUGUUCUUGAUUCUGCGUGGGAGAGGGGAGCGAUAUUGAUGAAGACCGUAAACAGCAAUAGGUGCCACCAAGUAGUGGCAACAUACAGCCCUGAACGUACAGCUGCCAUUAGGCACCGAGUGCCUCUCUGCUGAGUGCUCGCACCGAGGGCAGCUUGGCUUCCAACAAGCACCCAUCACUCCCAAGAGGCAGCACCCCCUGAGAACAUGGGCUGCAGUCCUUAUGACCGUGUGCUGUGAGAGCCAUUUCCACCGGAGAGGCAAAUACUUUCCUUCCACUGUGUCACAGAGCCACAUUUCCUCUGAGUUACCUGCACCGAGUGUGUGGGGCUGCACUAAUGCAGGCCUGGCCGAGAAGGGGGCACGGAGACAGGGAUGGAGAUGGGCACAGAGACAGAGAUAGAGACAGAGACAGGGACAGGGCCGGCCAUGCCCAGCAUGCAGAUCGAGGCAGGUCCUUGCAGUGCGGUGGGGCUGACUGACACCCCGGUGCAGUGUGCGUGUGCCGUGUGAUGUGCUUGAGCAGCACAAGGUCAUGUUCAGCCCCCUGCCCUGUUACUGUGAGCAGCCAUGCACUAGUUUCAAGCGUAAUAACAUCAUGACGUAACAGCACACCAUGCUGCGAUGACACCAGCACAUGGAGCAAGCCACGGCGAUCUGAUCUCUUUCUGUACACGCUGAGAUGCACGCUGCCGCCUCCCAGGACAGGUGGGCGGCAGGUGGAUGGGGCUGGCGCUGCCCACGUCCCAGCGCCGGGUGAGAACGUGACUGCCGGCAAUGUCAGGGCUGGGAGAUUGGCUCCGCAGCUCCAGCUCUGCCUCAGCUGCGGCCGAUGAGUCACCGCACCUCUCUGUGCUCACUUCUUCCAUCUGUGGAAAGGUGGCAAUAACAUUUCCUCACCUUACGGGGGGUGGGAGGUGUGUGCAAGGAUGAACAAAUGUUUACAAAGCACCUCGGCGCAGCACAGGCUGGUUGGGCUGUGACUGGGAGGAACCAGCGCUCGCUCUCCGCAUUGCUCCUUCCUGGCCAGGCGAGGUGUCCUCAAGUAAACACUCCCCUCAGAGUCAACAGUCUUCAAUGAGCGCAGAUGAGAUAAUUCCUCAGGAGAGAAACAGAGAGCGAAGAGUCAGCGCGCUGCCAGUAAUUUCCAUGAAUUCUGUCAAAGGAACAGCGGAGUAACCUUUGCAGGAGAAAAAGAAGAAUCAACUAGAAAAACAAAUGAGCAGCGACCAAAUUCUUUCUGCUAAGUGGUGCCGUGGUCUUAGGUUUCACUUCCCAAAUGGGAAACAGAACAGAGAAGUGAAUCCCCUUGAAAUAAAAGUGAAGUUAAUAACGGGACGCCUGUAGCUGCUCACCACAUCCUGUGUAUGCUGAUCGCUCUGUUUAUAGCUGGCACGAGCCCUUCUAGACUCUUCUCUACCAAGUGAGCUGGU
rnacentral:lncRNA from 1 species